rnacentral:lncRNA from 1 species
CUAUUCUAAAAAAUUGAGCAGAAAGGACUCCUUCCCAACUCAUUCUAUGAGGCUAGCAUCAUCUUAAUGGUAAACUUUCAAUGACUCUCCACCACCAAGAGGAUGAAUUUCUAUCUCCUUAGAAUGGCAUAUAAAGCCAUUUGUGAUUUGGCCCUGGCUUCCCUCUCCACUCCAGCAGCUGUACUUAAGUACUUGUAGGUCCCUUAGGGAGCCAUAAUUUGUGGCAUUUUUACAUGUUACUUCCUUGGCAUAUAUAUUUUAUUUUAUUUUUGUCAGGCCCACACCACUUAGAUGUUGCUGACUCUAGUAAAGCUUCCCUUACUCCCCAGGUGCUGGGCUAAGUACCCCUAUUCUGGGAACCCUUCUGCUUACCAUAUCACAGCACUUCCGUGACUUCAUAAUCGUCUGUUUACUUGCCAUUUCCUCUAUUAAAUUCUGAGCUCCCUGAUGGGAGUAUUCAUGGUUAGAGUCUCAGUCUCUAUUACGGGCCCUAGUACACUUCAGGAACUCAAAAGCUUUGCUGAUAUAAUGCAAGGUGAUAAAAAAGUAGAAAGACUUGGGAUAAUCUUGAUUUCUGAAGGCAUCAAACGGGAAUUAGAGAAAGCAGCAGGAAAAACGAAGGCCUUUUUAAGUUCCAUGAGAACUACGGUUUGCAAGACUGGUCAAAACAGUACAAUGCAAGCGGCAAGAAUCAGGAAGUGCACAGAAACAAGAAGCUCGGUGCACACUGGGAUCAGGCAAGCAUCUGGGAGAAGACUGUAGCAAGACUGGAUCCUGAGAGAUUAUUACAUCGCAAGACAAUGCAUCGCUCCAGCAAGGAUAACAAAGCGAAUGGGAAGGAAAGGGUUAUGAAGAGUUCAUGGAAGGCACCUUAGGCAGACUACUUUUAGGAAAGAGUGGAUGUGGAAGCUAAGUAUCUGGAAAUUGAUUUCCUUAGAACAGUUUGUGUUUGCAUGUCUUCUGAAAGGUUUUAUGUACUCCCAAGAGUAAGUAUACCUGUUUGAAGAAGCUGCUCAAUAUAGUUCUUAAAAUAGUCUACAAACAUGUUACCCCAGCAUAGUAAGAAAUAGGAGUACAGCCAGAAAUGAGAGUGGGAAUGAUUAGAGAGACCUCUUUGAGGCCUUGGUCGUGGGCAGGAGCACAGUGGGCCGGGCUCUUUCUAGAUGUGCUUUAAUCAUCAGGAAUUCUGAUACAAUUAUAUUUUGACUAUGAUAUAUAAGCUUCAUUUGAUUACUGUUGCCAAAUAUUUUUUGCUCUUCACGAAGUAAACCUCUUUUUAAAACUUUUUAACUGGCAAAUAAUAAUUGCAUCUAUUUAGGGAGUACAUUGUGAUGUUUUGAUACAUGAUUACAUUGUGGAAUGAUUUAAUCAAUCUACUUAAAUUUAGUGAAAAUAACUUAAGCUAUUAAUCUCAGCCUUGGUGGCUUCUCCUAAUUUAUGCUUACACAAGAGGCUAUCUUCAUUGUGAAAUGUCACAGACUCUCACAAGCAAGAGAAGAAAAUGUAGAGAAGCCCCUCAAAUAAAAUGCAUUAGGUUAAUUCAUACCGACAAAUGUGACACACUUAAAAUUGUUCCUAACAUCAGUUCAUGAUUUAUUUCAAAAGUUCUUAAUAUUCAAAAAUGCUCAAUAAUUUAAAGUAUUUCAAUGUAUAUAGCAAAUAAACCCUGCUAUUAAAACAAAAGAAUCAGGUUCAUUUCAGAAGAGUGAAAACUAGCAAGAUCUUACUGUAAAUCAACUGUUUGUUUUCAAUUAUUUGGCAUGAGAUCUUACAUAUUUUUAACCCAUGUUUUAAUUCUCGUAGAUACCCUGUUGCAAAAGUUCUGAAACAUUGUGAGAAAAAGUGUUUUUGUAGCACUUUGGCAAUGGGAGCCUCACUUCACUCUGUUAUGUAAUGUCCCAUCCAGUUUUUAGUUAAACCUGGAAACACCUUUGUCCUUAGGUGAAGCAGCAAGUCUUGCUUAAGCAAAGCUGGUGAAAUCAGAGCCUGGUCCAAGGCUCAGAAGCGUUUGCGGGGAAAAGCAAACACUUUUUGUGGGAGAAGGAAACAAAGGAGAAGAGAGGAGGAGGAAGAAAUUGAAAAAGAAGGGGAAGAGAAGAGGAAAAGAAAAAGAGACGUUGAGAGAAAGAAAAACAGAGAGCUGUGUGUGAUUGGAUGCCAUGACUCCUCAGUCUUAGUGCUAAUGCCGUUGUUACCUAACUCUAUUUAGGGAACUUUCCAGAACAAAGCGAAGCUUUGUGGGCCUGGCUUUCAGAACUUAUGCAACAAUUGUUUUGGGAGCAGACUGAAAAUUUUACAAGAGAACUGAGUUUUCAAGAGACUGACGGUGUGACCAAAAGAUCAAAGGUUUGGUGCAGUGGGACUAAGUUUCAGGCAGCCUUUCAAAUUGUGAAGACUUUCCUCCCUGUUAUGGCAGUUAAGACAUGUGAAAAUGGUAGUUCGAGACACUUAUAAGCAACUUUCUUCUUAGUUCACAAUGUUCCAUGAAUGUCAGUGCCCUCCAAACUCACGAGAACAAAGCAGGCAACCAGGAUGAUUACUCCCAAAUCAUUGAUAAAAGGAGAGAGAAGUACAGAGAUACACAGUGAUUUGUGUGGGUUGCCAAAAAGUUGCACGGAGGAAACACAGAUAAAUUAAAUACUGGUUAGCAAUCUUUAAUAACCAGGAGAUGCUUAACAUUUAUUUAGAAAUCUGCAACAUUUUAUAAAUCAUUGUUUUGGCUUCUGGGACAAACUCAGAAUCUGGAACCCACGGAAACCCUUCAGUUACACAAAGGCUUUCCAGUUCAUUGCUACUGCACUGAAGAACAGUCUUCACAACUAUACCUGGAACUUACUAGGCCAAGAAGGCAAGGCGUUGGUAUGUGUUUUUAUUGUAGUUAAACUUAUCUGGAUUUAAAAGGCAUUAACUAUCUUCUGAUUUCUUCCUUUUUCUUCAAUUGUACAAGAGUGUUUCAAUUGAAUAUUGCAACUGAAGACAUUCACUCUGCGUUGAUCACCUAUGGAGUGAUCAAAUUUCAACCCUUUGAAGUUUCCUAAAUGAAAGAGGCACUCUGAAUUCAAAGGCUGUUUGAAUGAACUGACUGCUUCAGCACUGUCUUGUAGAUAUAGUCCAUUCAAAUAAAAGACAAAUAUCUGACUGAAUUUUGUUAGCACGUUAAGACAUGUAUUAUAAAAAGGUUUAAGAAGAAAAUAAUGGCCACAAUUCUUCAGAAAACAUGUGAACUAAUGUGACAAAACACUGUGGUGUUGCAAACUCAAGUGCUGCUCUGGCCAAGUCACCUCGCUGAAAUCUCCACUUCCACUUGUGCAACCUACCAAGCCACUCUCUACACAGCUGCCAGAGUGAUUACAAAAACAACGCGGGAUUAUGCUACCCCUGCUUAUCUAAAAUUUGUCAAAAUGCCCGUUACACUUUGAAUAAAAUACAGAUUCCUCUCAGAUCUCAUUUCUUAUCAUGUCUUUCUCAAUCAUUAUGUUCCAGCCUCACUGACCUUCUUUCUGUUCCUGUAAAAUAUUCCUGCCUCAAGGGCGCAGGCCUACGACCUGCAGUUCUCUUUUUCCCACAUGUGACCAGGCUCUCUCUUAGCCAUCAGGUCUCAAAUAAGCUCUUUCCGUUCUGUCUAGGCAUCUUAUCAAAAUCAACCUGUGUAUUAUUAUUCAUUUAUCACAUAAUCUUGUUUUAUUUUCCUCAUAGCACUCUCACUUUCUGAAAUUAU